CAAGUCCAUUCAUAGUUUGAAACAGGCCUCUCGCCAGUGCUUUGCUAAAUUCUCCAGUGCUAUCCUCCGCUUUAGCUUUACUUAGUCCUGAGCCGAUACUUCUCUUUUUUUGCAUCGCAAGGAAAACUCGUUCACUGCAUUACUUGUGUAUGUGGAUGAUGUUAUUGUUGCUAGCAACAACCAAGCUCACACUACUGCCCUCAAAGAAUAUUUGAACACCUGGUUUCACAUUAAAGAUCUCGACCCUCUCAAAUAUUUCCUCGAUUCAACAGUGGUUCGAUCUCCUGAAGGCAUUGUCUUUUCUCAACACAAGUAUACAUUGGAUAUCCUGCAGAAAGCUAGCUUACACAGUACGAAGCCUGUGCCAUUUCCUGUGGAGCAAAAUCACAAAUUGGCAUUGGGCGAGAGUGCUAUUUUGGACAAUCCAUCUGCCUAUCGUCAUCUUGUUGGGAGGCUUAUUUACUUAACCACACCAGACCGGAGCUUUGCUAUUCCAUCCACAUUCUCUCUCAAUUCAUGCAUGAACCUAGACAUGGGCAUUGGAUGGCCGGCCUUCGGGUCUUGCGCUACCUUAAAUUUGCUCCUGGUCAAGGCAUUUUCCUCUCCUCCAAAUCUGGUUUUCAACUUCAUGCCUACUGUGAUUCAGACUAGGCGAGCUGCCCUCUCACUCGCCGUUUGAUUACUGGAUAUAUUAUUUUUGUUGGUUGUUCUCCCAUUUCUUGGAAGACCAAGAAGCAAACUACCAUUUCUCGCUCUUCAGCUGAAUAUCGCUCCAUGGCCUCCACUGCUUGUGAACUCAUUUGGCUUCACACUUUGCUUCAGGAUUUAUCCGUUCACACUUUUUCGCCGGCUCAGCUUCAUUGCGACACCGUGCUACCAUACACAUUGCUGCCAACCUCGUUUAUCAUGAAUGCACUAAACAUAUCGAGAUUGACUGCCACUUCAUUCACGAUUGCUUUAAGUCCGGCUCCACUGCCACAUUAUAUGUUUCCUCUGAUCGACAAAUAGCUGACAUCUUCACCAAAGCUCUCGGCAAUAACCAGUUCCACUUUCUAGUUGGCAAGGUGUCCAUUCAUGAUCUCCAUGCUCUAACUUGAGGGGCGUAUUAGAAUAAUCACAAAUUGGGCAUUAUUAUGGCAUGAUAUCAGCUGAAUAUUUUCCUUACUGUAUUUCCUUUUUCAUCUUUAUUAUGUAUUCCUUUCCAGUACCAUAGUAUUAAUUAGAAAAAAGAGCUGGAGCUAAAGGCUCCUCACUGUGUACAUAUAUCUUCAGGCUCAACCAUAAUAAAAUCAAGCUUUACCGCAUCUUUAAAUUUAUCAAGAAAGCAUUCCAAUUUUUCCAGCACCCAUUUUCUCCAUAUCUUCCCUGUUUUCAAAGUAACCAACAUAUUCGGAACAUAUAAGAUUAGACGAAUUUAGAAAUAAAUAUGGAACCAAGAAGUUAACACGAUAAACGAAUUAUCUUGUGGAGCCUUAUGUUUAUGAGCACCAUUGACAGCAAUAGCAAGUCCUGCUGUUAGAACACUAUUUACAAAACUCACUCCAUGCUUCAGCUUCUCCUUUUUAUUCUUUCAAUUGGAGGAGACAUGAAUGGGGGAUUGAAGAGAUAAGCUUCGAUAUGAAUACAAAUCUUGACCAUAUUUCUCCCCAUUAGUAGAGCUAUGGAUAAACCUAGUGAAUGUCCUGCUAACUAGACAUUCCCUAAUCCAGCUUUGUAGACAAAGUUCUGGGUAGCUUCCAUUCCAACCCGAAAUCGUGAACUCUUUUGAAGAUUAUUGAUAAUGCAGUGAAGAUUUAGCUUAAAAUCCUGUGACCGAUUGCUCAGUUUGUUGAUUGUGCCUCAGAAGGCAAUCACAUAUUUUGGGGGACUUUGGCUGCCGGGGUAGUUCGGAUAUGGAUAGUGGAAUUUGAAUUCAUAAAUGAUGCCAAAGAAUGACUGAUCGUCCUCAUCCACUAGAACUUGGUUCAACACGAAAUUGAAGGAUUCCCACCAUGGAGAAGCAAAAGCUUGAGGGCCUAGGCAGUUUUGCCGGCGGUCAUGUUCAAGUAUGUAGACUCCCUUAACAAGGCUCGCAGCAAUGGACUUUUGAUGAUGUGAGUUAUUCCAAGAACACCACCAUGAAAGUUGUCAAUUUUACAUUGAAAUGUGUAAACUUGAUAACAUGUAUAGUGCAAUGUAGAAAUUAAAAUUUCCAAUUAGAAGUAAAAAUUAACUCAGCAAUCAAUAGUUGUCGGGUAUGAUGGUCCAGCAAGGCUAAAAAUUUCCCUCUCAGAGGCCAUUCAGUCCCAAGGUUUCCAAAUUACGAUGCCCCUAAUAAAAUUUUCCAUUUAAUAUGGCCUGUUACUUUUUGAUACAAGUAUAAGACAAGGAAGAAAAGGCCAAGAUCUCAACUGAGGAAUGGAAUCAAUUCUGCCCUAAGAAGACAGGUGCAACUAUGAGUUUCAUGAAGAGUUCGAUUCUGACUUGGGAUGAGCAAAUACAGAGUACUUCACACUUUCAAAUAUGACACCGAGUGGUGUGUGACAAGCUCUAAUGUGAAAGAUUAAGGUAAUAAUUUGUUUCAUUAGUAUAUUCCCGUAUAAUAUUUUUCAUUCUGACAAAUGAUAGCUAAAGAUGGAGGUGUUCAAAAAUGGGAUUGCGACUCACCUCGCAAUUACAUUCAAAUUAAUUACUUAACUAGACCUAGUUUCUUCAAUAUCCAACUUGUUUAACAAUCAGAAAACAAGGGCACCAACCUCUUUUAGAUUUCAAUUCAAAUAAGAAAUUACAUUUCCAAGAGUUUGUACCACAUUCCUUGUGUAGGCAAUCGAGUUCUAUAAAACCAUUCAGAAUCUCCUAUUUUCCAAAUAACUUGAGCACAAGAAAUUAAUCAUUAUAAAUAUUCUCACAAACUCACGAAUCAUGCAUUCACGAUAUCCAUGUCGAGUUAGAUUGCAAGAACACGUCAUUUAGUCGUAAUUCAAAUGUCAACACCAACAAACUGCCACUGUUUCAGAGCCUUUAUUUUGGGGGAAAUGUAUUUUCUAAUAGUUAUAUUUUUGGAUAAUGUGUGGUAAAUUAGGUUUAAAAGUAAAAUUAUUUAAUUGGAGAAUGAGAAAUUGAAAAUGAGUUUUGGAAAAAAAAUGAGGCUCAAACAGGAUUUGGAUAUGUUAUCCAAAUUCCUUUUCACCACUUGGAUCUAAUUCAUUACUACAUUUAGGAGAACAAUUAAUAGUAAUUCAAAAGAAAAAAUAUUACCAAACGUGUAAAAGAGAGAACUCAAUAAUUAGUCCAUGAAAGCAGUUACUGUACGAAAUGUGAUGACUGCACAGAUGAAAACUUGGUGAAGCAAAAAAAUUCAAAAUUCAGACAAAUAUUUCAUAACUGUAUAAUUUUUACAAGCAGAUAAGUGAUACCAAAAAGAACAAGUGCUGUCCUCCACACAGGAAAUUGUUGAAGUUAUUCAACUCUUUUACAUGUAAAUGUUCAACUGUGUAUGUAUAUUCAAAGAGGGGAGGAGAAGAAGCCGAUUGGAUGUUAUCAAAAAGUGUGAACAAUUGGGCGCUAUAGUUUUAUUCACGACAAGUAAAAUGCUUUAAAAAGUCAAUGAUGUUUACUAAUACGGAAAAAAUAAACGAAACUUGUAAUAAUUUAACAUAUUCUAAACUGUACAAUAUGCAUAUAAUUUGAAACCCUAGAAUUGCAUCGAAGUCAAUUGAGAGAAUGGUAGGCGACAAUACGUACCUUUCCAGCAAUCCGCAUCGGACAAUGAAGAUUAUAUAUAAAAUUGCCAGCUAAAUAUUUAAAAUUUGGGGGAAAAUUAGGAGUUUCCUUGCAGUUUCAUUGUCCCUGGGGCUGGCUCAGAAAUUGACAAAUUAUCACGCGGCUUCAUCGUGCAUUGCGGCGUUGGCAUUUUUGGUGAGCUCGUUUUGAG
rnacentral:lncRNA from 1 species